rnacentral:rRNA from 1 species
UACAGAGGUCUCAAGCGUUGUUCGGAUUCAUUGGGCGUAAAGGGUGCGUAGGCGGCGCGGUAAGUCGGGUGUGAAAUUUCGGAGCUUAACUCCGAAACUGCAUUCGAUACUGCGGUGCUUGAGGACUGGAGAGGAGACUGGAAUUCAUGGUGUAGCAGUGAAAUGCGUAGAGAUCAUGAGGAAGACCAGUGGCGAAGGCGGGUCUCUGGACAGUUCCUAACACUGAGACACGAAGGCCAGGGGAGCAAACGGG